rnacentral:piRNA from 1 species
UAACUAACUGUGCACUCCAUUUCUUUGGA